rnacentral:tRNA from 1 species
GGUUAGCACUCUGGACUCUGAAUCCAGCGAUCCGAGUUCAAGUCUCGGUGAGACCU